rnacentral:tRNA from 1 species
GGCUGGAUAGCUCAGUUGGUAAGAGCACAGGAACGGUAAUCCGGAGGUCGCAGGUUCAAACCCUGCUCCAGUCA